GAUGAACGCUGGCGGCGUGCCUAAUAAAUGCAAGUCGAGCGAACGGACGAGAAGCUUGCUUCUCUGAUGUUAGCGGCGGACGGGUGAGUAACACGUGGAUAACCUACCUAUAAGACUGGGAUAACUUCGGGAAACCGGAGCUAAUACCGGAUAAUAUUUUGAACCGCAUGGUUCAAAAGUGAAAGACGGUCUUGCUGUCACUUAUAGAUGGAUCCGCGCUGCAUUAGCUAGUUGGUAAGGUAACGGCUUACCAAGGCAACGAUGCAUAGCCGACCUGAGAGGGUGAUCGGCCACACUGGAACUGAGACACGGUCCAGACUCCUACGGGAGGCAGCAGUAGGGAAUCUUCCGCAAUGGGCGAAAGCCUGACGGAGCAACGCCGCGUGAGUGAUGAAGGUCUUCGGAUCGUAAAACUCUGUUAUUAGGGAAGAACGUAUGUGUAAGUAACUGUGCACAUCUUGACGGUACCUAAUCAGAAAGCCACGGCUAACUACGUG
rnacentral:rRNA from 1 species